rnacentral:rRNA from 1 species
CAUAGUAUGUUGCCGUAGACCCGAAACCAGGUGAUCUACCCAUGUCCAGGAUGAAAGUGCGGUAAUACGCACCGGAGGUCCGAACCCGUGUACGUUGAAAAGUGCUGGGAUGAGGUGUGGGUAGCGGUGAAAUUCCAAACGAACUUGGAGAUAGCUGGUUCUCUCCGAAAUAGCUUUAGGGCUAGCCUCGGAAUUAGAAUCAUGGAGGUAGAGCCACUGUUUGAGCAAGGGGUCCAUCUAGGAUUACUGAGUUCAGAUAAACUCCGAAUACCAUUGAUUUAUGUCCGGGAGUCAGACGAUGAGUGAUAAGAUCCAUCGUCGAAAGGGGAACAGCCCAGACCGCCAGUUAAGGUCCCUAAAUAUAUGCUAAGUGGAAAAGGAAGUGGAGUUGCAUAGACAACUAGGAUGUUGGCUCAGAAGCAGCCACCAUUUAAAGAGUGCGUAAUAGCUCACUAGUCGAGUGAUUCUGCGCCGAAAAUUUACCGGGGCUAAGCAUAUUACCGAGACUGCGGACGCAACUAUGUUGCGUGAUAGGAGAGCGUUCUAAGGGCAAUGAAGGUAGACCGUAAGGACUACUGGAGCGCUUAGAAGUGAGAAUGCCGGUAUGAGUAGCGAAAGAUCAGUGAGAAUCUGAUCCACCGAAUGACUAAGGUUUCCUGGGGAAGGCUCGUCCACCCAGGGUUAGUCGGGACCUAAGCCGAGGCUGAGAAGCGUAGGCGAUGGAUAACAGGUUGAGAUUCCUGUACUAGUUAAUUAUGUUUGAACGAUGGAGGGACGCAGUAGGCUAAGAUAUGCACACGAUUGGAAAUGUGUGUUCAAAUCGUAAGUCAGUUUAAGAGUCAAAUGCUUUUAAGCGGGUUGACAAGCGAUGAUGAGGAUCGAAAUUUAAGUAGAGAAGUAUCUGACGUCACACUGCCGAGAAAAGCUUCUAGUUAGUAAUUAAUUACCCGUACCGCAAACCGACACAGGUAGUCGAGGAGAGUAUCCUCAGGUGAGCGAGAGAACUAUCGUUAAGGAACUCGGCAAAAUGACCCCGUAACUUCGGAAGAAGGGGUGCUGGCCUCACGGCCAGCCGCAGUGAAAAGACUCAAACGACUGUUUAUCAAAAACACAGGUUUAUGCAAAAUCGUAAGAUGAAGUAUAUGGGCUGACGCCUGCCCGGUGCUGGAAGGUUAAGUGGAAGUGUUAGCUUCGGCGAAGCACCGAAAUGAAGCCCCAGUAAACGGCGGCCGUAACUAUAACGGUCCUAAGGUAGCGAAAUUCCUUGUCGGGUAAGUUCCGACCCGCACGAAAGGCGUAACGAUUUGAGUACUGUCUCAACGAUAGACUCGGUGAAAUUAAGAUACCUGUGAAGAAGCAGGUUACCCGCGACAGGACGGAAAGACCCCAUGGAGCUUUACUGUAGCUUGAUAUUGGGUGUUUACAUAACUUGUACAGGAUAGGUAGGAGCCAUAGAAGCCGGGACGCUAGUCUCGGUGGAGGCGUCAGUGGGAUACUACCCUUGUUAUGUGAACACUCUAACCCUGCGCACUAAUCGUGCGCGGAGACAGUGUCUGGUUGGCAGUUUGACUGGGGCGGUCGCCUCCUAAACAGUAACGGAGGCGCUCAAAGGUUUGCUUAGAAUGGUUGGAAAUCAUUCCUAAAGUGUAAAGGCAAAAGCAAGCUUGACUGCGAGACAAACAGGUCGAGCAGGGACGAAAGUCGGACUUAGUGAUCCGGUGGUACCAUAUGGAAGGGCCAUCGCUCAACGGAUAAAAGCUACCCUGGGGAUAACAGGCUUAUCUCCCCCAAGAGUUCACAUCGACGGGGAGGUUUGGCACCUCGAUGUCGGCUCAUCGCAUCCUGGGGCUGUAGUUGGUCCCAAGGGUUGGGCUGUUCGCCCAUUAAAGCGGUACGCGAGCUGGGUUCAGAACGUCGUGAGACAGUUCGGUCCCUAUCCGUCGCGGGCGCAGGAAAUUUGAGAGGAGCUGUCCCUAGUACGAGAGGACCGGGAUGGACAUACCGCUGGUGUAUCAGUUGCGCCGCCAGGCGCAUUGCUGAGUAGCUAUGUAUGGAUGAGAUAAACGCUGAAAGCAUCUAAGUGUGAAACUCGCCUCAAGAUGAGAUUUCCCAUUCCUAUAUGGAAGUAAGACUCCUGAAAGAUGAUCAGGUAGAUAGGUUAGAAGUGGAAGCGUAGUGAUACGUGAAGCGGACUAAUACUAAUCAGUCGAGGACUUAACCAAG